CCGCCCAUUCUCAGCAUCCGCGGCCGUCCGCUGCCCGCCGCCAACUACUCCCCCUCCCCAUACUGCCCUGGCCAUCCCAACCGUCGUCAUCCACGCGCCGAUGUGCUCCCUUAUCUAGCGGCAAGAGGAGUACAUCAGCUCUCCAAAGAGGAGUCCGAGUCAGGGUCGACCUGCUUCUGGACUUCCCUCCUUGAAUCCCCCAUUGAAAGCAUAUCGCCUUGGUCAAAUUCGGCCGCCCUCCUCGAUUCCAUUUACCCGCUGCGGCGCCCAACUACUCCACCCACGAUAUAUUCCUACGGGUAGGAGGUGAAUGACAUUCUUUAUCAGAUUCUACUCCUACAUAGUAGUCCAACACUCCAUGGAAAAAAAGAAGGUUCCUCUAAACCUCCCUCUGAACCUCCAGAAGACUGAAGCAAAGAAAUAGCGACCAGAUGACUGAAUACGAGAUUGCAUCUUCUCCUUUUUUUCUUAUUUUGUUUUUAGUGUAAUGCAUCUUCUCAUUUUUUUUUCUUUUGUUGAAUCAACUCAAUUUUGUUUUCUCCAUUGGAUAGGUAGGUAUGCAGAUAAGUGUAAAAAUAAGCUCAACUUACUCAUAGAUUUGUAUCAUGUCAGUGUAUAGAGGCAUAAUCAUAUGCGACUAUGCUUUUGUUUUGAGAAACCAGAGCUUCUAUUAUUACCAGUGCAUGCUCAAGUCAUGCUGAAUACAGGGAAGCAGUACAUUCAGUAGAAAAAGAAUAGGAUGAGGAUUUAGGGGCUAUGCUCAUCAUUCAAUUUUUGCCACACUCAUUCAGUACAAGUCAUUUCGCUUCAAAAUCGAAGCUUCAAAGGGCUAGCAGAGCUGAGACCGAUGGGUCACCGUCGCUUCAGAAUCAAUUUAGUUAACUCUCAGAUAUGAAGCUAGCAGAGCUGA